CCUUUAUUGGGCCUUGUACACACCGCCCGUCACAUCACGAAACUCUGUUGCACUAGAAGUCGGUGGGCUAACCCGCAAGGGAGGCAGCCGCCUAAAGUGUGAUCGGUAAUUGGGGUGAAGUCGUAACAAGGUAGCUGUAGGAGAACCUGCGGCUGGAUCACCUCCUUUCUAAGGAGCUUCUUUUCGCCACGGAUCAAAACGUGGUUGCGAAAUUAGUUCCCAGGUCGAGAGGAAUCACGCUCUUCAAUGAGCGAGCGUUUCGCCCUCUUGUCUUUCCUGUUCAGUUUUCAGG
rnacentral:misc_RNA from 1 species